rnacentral:misc_RNA from 1 species
GAUGAAGAACGUAGCGAAUUGCGAUAUGUAAUGUGAAUUGCAGAAUUCAGUGAAUCAUCGAAUCUUUGAACGCACAUUGCGCCCGCCAGUAUUCUGGCGGGCAUGCCUGUCUGAGCGUCAUUUCAACCCUCAUGCCCCUAGGGCGUGGUGUUGGGGAUCGGCCAAAGCCCGCGAGGGACGGCCGGCCCCUAAAUCUAGUGGCGGACCCGUCGUGGCCUCCUCUGCGAAGUAGUGAUAUUCCGCAUCGGAGAGCGACGAGCCCCUGCCGUUAAACCCCCAACUUUCCAAGGUUGACCUCAGAUCAGGUAGGAAUACCCGCUGAACUUAAGCAUAUCAAUAAGCGGAGGA